rnacentral:rRNA from 1 species
GACGAACGCUGGCGACGCGCUUAACACAUGCAAGUCGAACGGAAAGGCCUGCUUUCCCUUGUGGAUUGCGGGUACUCGAGUGGCGAACGGGUGAGUAACACGUGAGUGAUCUGCCCCCAACUUGGGUAUAAGCCUGGGAAACUGGGUCUAAUUCCCGAUAGGACUGCAGGGUGGUGCCUGUGGUGGAAAACGAUUUUCUAGUGGUUGGGGAUGAGCUCGCGGCCUAUCAGCUUGUUGGUGGGGUAAUGGCCUACCAAGGCGGCGACGGGUAGCCGGCCUGAGAGGGUGGACGGCCACAGUGGGACUGAGAUACGGCCCAGACUCCUACGGGAGGCAGCAGUGGGGAAUAUUGCACAAUGGGCGGAAGCCUGAUGCAGCGACGCCGCGUGGGGGAUGACGGCCUUCGGGUUGUAAACUCCUUUCGACCGCGAGGAAGCCACCUGGUUGGAAGGGUGGUGACGGUAGUGGUAGAAGAAGCACCGGCUAACUACGUG